rnacentral:rRNA from 1 species
GACGAACGCUGGCGGCGUGCCUAAUACAUGCAAGUAGAACGCUGAAGAGAGGAGCUUACUCUUCUUGGAUGAGUUGCGAACGGGUGAGUAACGCGUAGGUAACCUGCCUUGUAGCGGGGGAUAACUAUUGGAAACGAUAGCUAAUACCGCAUAACAAUGGAUGACACAUGUCAUUUAUUUGAAAGGGGCAAUUGCUCCACUACAAGAUGGACCUGCGUUGUAUUAGCUAGUAGGUGAGGUAAUGGCUCACCUAGGCGACGAUACAUAGCCGACCUGAGAGGGUGAUCGGCCACACUGGGGCUGAGACACGGCCCAGACUCCUACGGGAGGCAGCAGUAGGGAAUCUUCGGCAAUGGGGGCAACCCUGACCGAGCAACGCCGCGUGAGUGAAGAAGGUUUUCGGAUCGUAAAGCUCUGUUGUAAGUCAAGAACGGGUGUGAGAGUGGAAAGUUCACACUGUGACGGUAGCUUACCAGAAAGGGACGGCUAACUACGUG